UUGUUGUUCUUCUUCUUCUUCGAUU
rnacentral:sRNA from 1 species